AUAAUAUAUUAACUUCAUAAAAAAUUAUAGAGUUUAAUUAGUAAAGAUAAUUAAUUUAAUAGAAUAUAUUGACUUUAAAAGAAUUAAAAUGACGUCAUCGGGAAUUCCAUCGUUAAAACAUUUUAAAUCAAUUUUUUAAUAAUAUACGUCCAAUAUAUGUCUAAUAAUAUACAUUCAAAAUCGAGCAUGUCACUGUCAGGAUUAAUAAUCCUAUUAGUAUACAAGUAUUAGUUUCAGUAAUAUUGUUAUUGAAUAAAAAAGAUACUCGUCAAUUGUCACUCAAUUCUGUUCAUACAACAGCUUUCCUUUUCUACGUAAACAGAGAUUCUUCCGCGAAUACAAAAGUACACUUCUCGUAUCUGUUUCAUAUUUAUCCGAUACCGACAUUGGUCUAAUUCUAUCAAUAUUUUUAUCUAGGUUAUCGGUUAGAGCUCGUAUCGUUCACCUCCCGAAGAUCAUCGAAGACGAAAGUCUGCCAGGAAACAAACAAACAUAUUAAAUUUGUCACUACGAAAACUCAGCUAGAGUUUCUAACCUUAUCGAGCGAUACUUUGUAUUACAAUGCGAGUAAUAAAUAUUUUUAGCCGGCUAUCGCCGUCUGUGGGUCGGUUAAGCGAUAAAAGGUAACGACGAGCGGCCGCAAUAACGAGAAUUGCCGACCAACAGCCUUGACGAUGUCUUAUCACUCGACUGCUAUAAUUUUUGCAAGAUAGAAGGAGAAAGGAUAAGAGAGAGAGGGAGAGAGAGGGAGAAAAUGUAUUAUUUAUUAUGCGCUUUAGAUGCUAUCUUCUUAAGCGCAGAAAAAAACUUGCACGCAAUAUACUAAUAAUACACAAUACAAUAAAAGAUUAGCAGUAUUAUGAGAUAUUAUAUGUGAGUAAGCGCACCCAAGAACCACAGCUUAAAAAUCAGACAAAACUACUGAAAAGCGAGGUUUUACAGCAUAAAAACCUUCAGAAAUAUUUUCUCCUUCAUAAAAAACAACAGCAUUUCUGGCGCACCCGAGGUCGGGAGAUCCAAAAUCAAGCAAAACCACCUAAAAAAUUCGCAAGAACAGAAAAAGUAUCCAUAACUCGAUCAAAAUUCAAUGAACAUAACGAAUUAAACGUACAAUUUCUAAAAAAAAAAAUUAAAGAGGACAAUGAUAGUUUAAUUAUAUAUAGUUAUCGAACGUAUUGAAGCUCGAAUUAAUAUCCUAACCGCGCAAAUAGAGUCCUUACACACGGAGAUAACUUCGCUGAAAACAGAUAUGAGCUCACCGGGAAACCGCAUUACUAAUGAAAUAACUCAAACUUUAAAGAAUUCUAUUAAAUAAUAAUAGAAAGUGAAGUGAAGCGGACCAAACGUGAAACUGCGAAGCUCCUUGUUCAUUCAAACUGACGAAAAGUAUAUAAUAAAAGUAUGUAAUAAACAUGGGAAUGAACACGUGCCACAGUUGACAUAUCAUGCACUGAGAGAAAAGACUGAUAUCGCAGGAGAAAGCGUCCACACAGUGGUGGAGACUGCAGACUAAGGAUCUCCGCACAAAAACAUCCGCAACAUGUUACGUUACGUUAAGUACUGACAAUUCAAUGGCUAUACCUGUACGUAAAAUUAAACUUAAGUCAAAACACAAAGAAAUCCGUAAACUUAACAUGUUACAGAUAUUCCUGUAUAGAGACCCUAAUCCAUAAAGAUCUCACGGACCUUCCUUUCACCAACCGGUAAUGUCGAGGAAGCGGAGAACCAAAAACAGCUCGAAUAAGAAGCUUCCUAAGGUGUUGCAAAGCACGACGUAUAUGGAACAACGUCAAAAUGAGGCAAAAAUGAGGAGAAAAUUACUAAAAGUUCAUUUUUCGAUCACAAUUCGAUUAUUUUGAUUUCGUCAUCAUAAAUUUCUGUUCUAUUUGAAACACAUCGUACAGUAAACUACUUUAACUACUGAAUAAGUUCUUGUCUAGUUCCUACGCAGUAUUUUUAUAACUAAUAUAAAUGCAAUAAUACUUGACAACAACUCAGCGGACUAUAAAAACUGCUAUAUUUUCACCAGGAUAAAGUGAGUUGUAAAGCGAUUUCGACGCAAUGAAGUUGUGAGCUCACCAAAUUAUUAAAAUUGUAUUAUUGCGACAGGCCUAGUAAUUAUAUUAUUAUUAUUAUUAAUUAUUAUUAAUGUUACUAUUAUUUAUUAGUAUUUAGUGUUCUUAAUUAUA